rnacentral:rRNA from 1 species
UACAGAGGUCUCAAGCGUUGUUCGGAUUCAUUGGGCGUAAAGGGUGCGUAGGCGGCGCGGUAAGUCGGGUGUGAAAUCUCGGGGCUUAACUCCGAAACUGCAUUCGAUACUGCCGUGCUUGAGGACUGGAGAGGAGACUGGAAUUUACGGUGUAGCGGUGGAAUGCGCAGAUAUCAGGAGGAACACCAAUAGCGAAGGCAGCUCGCUGGGACGGUACUGACGCUAAGGCGCGAAAGCGUGGGGAGCGAACAGG